GACAAUGUGGCACAGUGGUUUCAAUAUUGGACUAGGACUCUCGGAGACCAGGGUUCGAAUCCUUUCUUUGCCA